rnacentral:lncRNA from 1 species
CUCUCUGUAAAAUGGACCAAUCAGCAGGAUGUGGGUGGGGCUAGAUAAGAGAAUAAAAGCAGGCUGCCCGAGCCAGCAGUGGCAACCCCCCUUGGGUCCCGUUCCACGCUGUGGGAGGUUUGUUCAUUUGCUCUUUGCAAUAAAGCUUGCUGCUGCUCACUCUUUGGGUCCAGACUGUCUUUAUGAGCUGUAACACUCACCGGGAAGGUCUGCAGCUUCACUCCUGAAGCCAAGGAGACCACGAACCCACCGGGAGGAAGGAACAACUACAGACACGCCGGCUUAAGGGCUGUAACACUCACUGCGAAGGUCCGCAGCUUCACUCUUGAGCCAGCGAGACCACGAACCCACCAGAAGGAAGAAACUCCAAACACAUCCGAACAUCAGAAGGAAAAAACUGCAGACACGCCGCCUUUAAGAACUGCAACACCGCGAGGGUCCGCGGCUUCAUUCUUGAAGUCAGUGAGACCAAGAACCCACCAAUUCCAGACACGCUACCAAAGGCAGAGGGGAGCUCCUAGACAAAGUGCAAUGUGCAUGAAAUGACAUAAAGUUACAGGUAAAAAAUAACGCAAAGUUUUUCUUUUUCUUUCUUUCUUUCUUUCUUUUUUUUCUUUUUGAGACGUAGUCUCGCUCUGUCGCCUAAGCUGGAGUGCAGUGGCGCAAUCUCGGCUCACUGCAAGCUCCGCCUCCCAGGUUCACGCCAUUCUCCUGCCUCAGCCUCCGGAGUAGCUGGGAGUACAGACGCCCUCCACCAAGCCCGGCUAGUUUUUUGUAUUUUUAGUAGAGAUGGGGUUUCACCGAAAAUAACUCAAAGUUUUAAGAAAAUAAAUCUAUUUCAAAAAUCUCUCACCUAGGUU